ACAUCCCGACUUCGGAAGGGAUGUGUUUAUUAGAUAAAAAACCAAUGCCCUUCGGGGCUUUUUGGUGAUUCAUGAUAACUUUACGGAUCGCAUAGCCUUGCGCUGGCGACGGUUCAUUCAAAUUUCUGCCCUAUCAACUUUCGAUGGUAAGGUAUUGGCUUACCAUGGUUUCAACGGGUAACGGGGAAUUAGGGUUCGAUUCCGGAGAGGGAGCCUGAGAAACGGCUACCACAUCCAAGGAAGGCAGCAGGCGCGCAAAUUACCCAAUCCCGACACGGGGAGGUAGUGACAAUAAAUACUGAUACAGGGCUCUUUUGGGUCUUGUAAUUGGAAUGAGUACAAUUUAAACCUCUUAACGAGGAACAAUUGGAGGGCAAGUCUGGUGCCAGCAGCCGCGGUAAUUCCAGCUCCAAUAGCGUAUAUUAAAGUUGUUGCAGUUAAAAAGCUCGUAGUUGAAACUUGGGCCUGGCUGGCGGGUCCGCCUCACCGCGUGCACUCGUCCGGCCGGGCCUUCCUUCUGAAGAACCUCAUGCCCUUCACUGGGCGUGUUGGGGAAUCAGGACUUUUACUUUGAAAAAAUUAGAGUGUUCAAAGCAGGCCUUUGCUCGAAUACGUUAGCAUGGAAUAAUAAAAUAGGGCGUGCGUUUCUAUUUUGUUGGUUUCUAGAGACGCCGCAAUGAUUAACAGGAACAGUCGGGGGCAUCAGUAUUCAGUUGUCAGAGGUGAAAUUCUUGGAUUUACUGAAGACUAACUACUGCGAAAGCAUUUGCCAAGGAUGUUUUCAUUAAUCAGUGAACGAAAGUUAGGGGAUCGAAGACGAUCAGAUACCGUCGUAGUCUUAACCGUAAACUAUGCCGACUAGGGAUCGGGCGAUGUUCUUUUUCUGACUCGCUCGGCACCUUACGAGAAAUCAAAGUUUUUUGGGU
rnacentral:rRNA from 1 species